GGGCCCUCCCCCACGGGAGCCCAGAGGCCUUAUACAGUUUCCUCUUGGGCCAGGGAUGUGGGCAGGGGUGAUCAGUGUUGGUGGUCUCUUCCGCUCUGCAGCCUCAGGAGUGCCCACCUGACCAGGCGGUUGGGUCUCUCUCUCACCGGGUCUGGGAGCAGAGAGCUGCUGCGGGCCGGGAUCCGCGGGUGUGGGACUUCCGGUAAACACAGAACGUGCCCGGUUCUAGAGAAAUUCUGCUUCCGUGUGUCCCAAGCUCACCAGGCAGCUUUCUUGCAGCAGAAAAUUUGGUCUUACCUGUGAUCCCGAGGCUCAAGUUCGCUCGUGGGGUGCUGCCCAGGGGCUCUCUGCAGCGGCAGCAACCAGGAAGACCUGUGCCGCCCCUUCCGGGAGCUUCAGUGCACCAGGGUUCCAGAUGGUCUUUGGCUUUUUCCUCUGGCGUCCGAGAUGUGUGUGCAGGGAGCAGUCUCUUCUGGUUUCCGAGUAUUUCUUAUAUACAUUUCGAGCGUUAUUCCCUUUCCUGGUUUCCGGGCAAACAUCCCCCUAAUCCCUCCCCCUCCCCUUCUUUAUGGGUGUUCCCCUCCCCAUCCUCCCCCCAUUGCCACCCUCCCCCCAACAAUCUAGUUCAUUGGGGGUUCAGUCUUAGCAGGACCCAGGGCUUCCCCUUCCACUGGUGCUCUUACUAGGAUAUUCAUUGCUACCUAUGAGGUCAGAGUCCACGGUCAGUCCACCAUUUUCUUUGUAUGCAAAAAAGAGCUGCCAAAUUGUAACCAUGAUACAUUAAGUGUUCUGAUCUAGAGUGACAUGAGUCUCACAUGACUAGCUGCUCAGCUCUUAUACCCAUCUCAGCCCCCCACAAAACUGUCAGAAGGCCAAACUACAGUUAGAUUCAGUUGCCAAUUAAUAGUUUCCUCACACACCUCCCUCUGUGAUGAGUAUUAAGGAUGAACUCGAGCAUGUGACUUCAGUUCAUAAAAUGUUUACAAGGGCAGCUGGAGUGCGUAACAUUUGAUUGUUACAUAGAUAAACGUUGGAGAACACGUGUGAGCUGGGCAGCGUUAGUACCAGAUGCUCCGGUAACAUAUUUUCAAUGUUCAUCUCUCCCUCAGCGUUCUACUUUGGUGGUGGCUCUUAAUCUACUUUGAGAUAAGUUUGGUAUGAACUCUAUCUCUGAUGCCCAUAAUCUAUAAUAUCUCUGAUCUGUUAUUUAUAAUAGUUAUUUUGUUUAGUGUCCAAAUAGUCUAAAUAACAUAGGCCCUGUUACAUUUUCUCACACAUAUCUUGUUAAAACACAGAUAUUUCAAGUCCUUCAUGUUUAUAGAAGAAGAAGAAGAAGAAGAAGAAGAAGAAGAAGAAGAAGAAGAAGAAGAAGAAGAAGAAGAAGAAGAAGAAAGAAUUUUCUUUAGGCAUAAGAAAUACUCUGGUGUGGAAAGGCAUUGAUUUUCGAAAUUACAGUUCAUCUAAGACGUUUUAUGUCUCUUUAUCGGGGAGGCAAAUUUUUUCAUCUAGAACAGAAACUUCAUAGCUUUCUCAGAUCCAGCAUUUCCCAUGGCUAGUGAUAUUUGUUUUAUUGGUAAGAUUGUUUAUUUCAUUUCUGGGAUUUUCAAAUAACAUAUACUUAUAUAUGUUAAAUACCAUAAAUAUAAAACAAUUAAUCAUGCAUAAUAUAUGUGUAUAGUAAACAUAUAUACCCAUACAUAAACGUAAGCACAUGUAUAUUUAAACAUGCAUACAUGAUUAGAUACGUGUUAUUAAAAUUACAUGUAUAAUAUAAACAUAAGUAUAUAUUAAUGCUUUUAUACAUAUAUACAUUUACAUAUAUGCAUGUUUAAUUGCUUUGCAUUUGUAUUUGCUUUUGGAUAUGUGUUUGUUUAAGGAUUCAUACAGCAUGGCAUGUAUGUGGUUAGAGGACAGUUUGCAGGACCCAGGUCUCUCUUUCUACCAUGUGGGUUUUGAGGGGCAGUUAGGAUCAUCAGACUUGGCAACAAGCAUCUUUUACCGCUGAUCAUCUUGACCCUGAUUACAUAUUUGUAGAGAACAUAUUUAGAUUUUAGAAUAAGCAAGUCUAUUAGCUGACCAAUGUCACUUGUACUUUUAUUUUUCUGAAAAACGAUACAAGCAUUUAGUGUUCUAAAGUAGUUUUUCUUCAUAGUUUGACUUUACAAUUAUCUCAACAAAUUAUACAAAACAUAUGUACUGUGUACAUUUCUGCAUUCUACUCACAUUCAGUGUCUCACUUGCUUUAUCAUAUGGAUUUUGCCACUCACUACAUAUAGAUAUGGUCAGAGCACAUGAAAUUCAUAUAUAUGAACUCAUAUAUAUAUAUAUAUGUAUAUAUAUAUAUAUGCAAGCACAGCUUCCUGAAAUUUUUGAAAAUUAGCAAAUUACUCCUAUGCCCUUCAGAGUCUACUUCCUAAAAUAAGAAUAAUGUCUUAUGUAGAAGUAAACUUAUGCAUAACACUUUUACAUUUUUCCUCUGCAUUAUAAUUUAGUGUGUUGACCAAGUGGCAUGUUUUAUGCCAUUAUUUUUCUUCUAAUAUAGGACUCCUCUUUUUUUUCUUUUUUUCUUUAUUAACUUGAGUAUUUCUUAUUUACAUUUCGAUUGUUAUUCCCUUUCCCAGUUUCAGGGCCAACAUCCACCUAACCCCUCACCCUCCCCUUCUAUAUGGGUGUUCCCCUCCUCUUAAGAUCACAUUUUGCAUAAUCUCUUUGGUUCUGUGAAGCUUUUCUUUGUCUUUUAUAACACUGAUAUUUUUCAAAAUUGUGCUUCCAUUCUUAAUAAUUAAAAGCCUUUGUUCGUUCAUGUGAUGUUUCCUAAUGGGUAGGCAGUGGCUAUGUGUAUUGUUCUGAACCCUAAGUAAGUUCAAUCAUGUUGUCCUCAAUGUCACGUGUAAAGGCAUGCUACAUUCACCCCUCAUCAACACUAAAAGUAAUCCAAACACUUGGGUCACUACUGAGUCUCUCUACUGCAUGGUUAUAAAUAUUAAAAUAAUCUAUGGCGAAAACAAUAUGAUUAUAAUAUACUAAGGGAAUACUUUGCAACAUACCUGAUGCAGGCUUUCCAAUUCCUUUCGGUGUCAUGGCUCUCCAUCCUAGCCUUUUCUAUUCUAGCCUUGUGUGGCAUCUGCCCAUUUCUCACUCACUGACCUUUCCUGGUCUGCGUCUUGGGUUAGCAGCAAAGCAACAGACAGGUUGAGUAUGUUCUCUGCAGGAGAGACAGGUCUUCAGGAACCACAACAGCUCUGGAGUUUCCUGAGAUGAGAAACUUAUUUGGAAGGAAAGUUCAGAACUGCUAUAGGAUGAGAGCAGAAGGUAAUGGCCAAUAGUCCUAGAUUUUGGUGAUGCUCCACAGGAUUGUCAGCCCCUACAGCAAACUGGAAAACAUGGCACAAGUGUGUUAAAUCAAGGAGUUCAAAAAACCCUGAAGUGAAGAGGCCUGCCUUCAUGUGACAACACCACCAUAGUACAAACAACUCCAUGAACUCCAAGGAUUUUGAGUGAUAGGGGACAGAUUGGUUAAGCAACGUGACCUCAGGAGAGGUGCAGCAUGAUUCAGGUAGGGAAUGUUGCAUAGUAAUCUAAUGUCCUCAAAGACCCAGAUGUUGGAAAUUUGGUUGCAAGGAUGUGUUCUGGAGAGAUAGUCAAAUAUUUAAAAGUGGGGCCCAAUGGUAGGAUCAGUAGAUAAGAAUGCGGUUGCUUCUUUCUCUCUUUUUCUUCAUGACUAGGUACUGAGCAAUCUCACACAGCCAAGUGCUUGCCAAUAUCAUGACCCAGCACUCCUACCUACUGUGAGGCAAAGUAAACCUUUCUGUUGUGUAAGUUGAUUAUACCUGUUGGGGCUACAGGGGAUAUCACAAUUCAUGUUGGAAAGAGCAGUAGCUAAAAGAAAUGGUUGCAAGAAGGAAGUGAUUUCUGGUGUCUUGCUUUAGGCUCACAGCUAAGAUGCAUGGCAGAAUUCUGGAAGAAGAGAGCCAAUUAAAUUCACUGUUGAAUUGUUUUCCAUGAUAAGGAGUAUGUUUUAUUUAUAUGCAAUAUUAUGAAAAAUAUUUUAGCAAUGUACUGUAUAAUAGACUUCAAGCUCACCUUCAAGGUGCGGAGGAAAAAAUGUUCUGAAGUUAGCAAGAGUAGUCUAAUUAGCAUUCUUAUAGAAUGAGCUGUAGAUUUACUAGAGACUUACUGAAGAGAAAAACACCAGAGCCCCAGACUAGCACAUCAAUCUUUUGAGGCUCCCUGACACUCUUGAAGAGGAUAUCCUGGCACAGAAAGCAUAUUGCUGUCUUAAGGCCGUGGCCCUGGGUCAGAGCGUAGUAAGAACAAAAGAUGAGCAGGUUUGAGAGGAACCAGCUGGCUAAGGUGAUUCAAAGUGCACAGAUGUUAAAGGCUGACUGUUCCAACAGCAUCGUUACUGAGCAUGAGAAUAAAGAACAGAGAUUACAAUAUUUUUGAGACUUGAUUUACUGUGUUGAGCCUUCAAGUAUGGCUUUUGUGCAUUCCUUUUUCUUUCAUGCUAAUUUUUAACUUUCUACUUUUAUUUUAAUAUCAUUUUGUAUUUUUUAAUGGAAAAUAGCUGUUAAAAACCAACUGAAUAUCCUAUGAAAAUUGAAAAUUAAAUCACAGCUUAUCUGUGUAAGAAAUGUAUAUAGAAAUGUGUUAAUGCUAAGACCUGUAGAAGGGGUGUGUGUGUGUGUGUGUGUGUGUGUGUGUGUGUGUGUGUGUGUCUGUAUCUGUAUGAGUGUGUGUCUGUCUGUCUAUGUCUCUCUGUCUCUUCCUCUGUCUCUGUCUCUCUAUAAUGUGUGUGUGUGUGUGUGUCUGUAUCUGUAUGAGUGUGUGUCUGUCUGUCUAUGUCUCUCUGUCUCUUCCUCUGUCUCUGUCUCUCUAUAAUGUGUGUGUGUGUGUGUGUGUGUGUGUGUGUGUGUGUGUGUGUGUGAGUGUAUGUUGAGGCAAUGUUUUAUUUACCUAAGCUGGCAGAAAAUGAUCCACGUUUUGGUGACAGGUGUACACCACCACACUCAAAAUUUUCAUGGGCUUUUUAAAUGGUCUAUAGCACAGUGACCAAGACUUUGCACUUUUCUCUAUGUCUUCCUCAAAAAGAGCUUCUGACAUAGGAACUUUUGUGACAAGUAGAGGAAUGGUAGAUCUAAGGCAAUUAUAAACUCCUAACAUGUGAUUCACUCUGUGUGUGUGUGAGUGUGUGUGUGUGUGAGUGUGUGUGUGUGUGUGUGAGAGAGAGAGAGAGAGAGAGAGAGAGAGAGAGAGAGAGAGAGAGAGAGUGUAAGGGGAGAUCCAGAAGUAGAAGUGAGUGGUCUGAGUCAAGUCUUGGGAGUAAGCAGAAUCUAAACACAUAAUUGGUUUGGAAAAUAUUAGCUUUGUAGUUACAGGGCAUGGGUGUGUAUGUGGUUAAAGUCAUGGAAAAUAGUUCUACAUUCUUUAAGGUUAUAGCUUUUGAUUCCACUAAAACACUAAACUCUUAGUGAACAUCAGGAAUGGUACCAACAAUUACACAAAGACAUUACAAACUCUAGAAAAGAAUUAUUGUGCCCUUUAAAAAUAAUUAAAACAUCAUAUACCAUAGAGUCAAUAGCAUACUUCUUGACUCAAAAAUAUUCAAGUUUGAUUAUUCAGUAAGUAUUCUAGGGAUUGAAAACUCCUUUUGCAUAGCUCUGUAGCAUCCCUGAGCACGUGGUUUGGUCAUGUGAAAACUGCAUGAUGUGUCCACCAUACAGGGUCGGGGUGGCAUUUACUACUUCUCUUAUGAACCCAUGAAAACAGUAAUACUGGUACUAUCCCUCUGUGAAUAGCUUGUUUCUGUUUCCAAUUCUAGGAUAAUGCUGUGGAAUAAAAUAAUCAGAAUUACAAACUUGAUAAUGACACUCUGUAAGUCUGUCGCAUAUACUUGAGAUUUGCAUUCAUACGAUGUGAGUGAAAAUAAUGUAGCUGCAGCUUAUUUGUUUUCUCUCUUUCUUCUUUCUUCCUUCCUUUCUUUCUUUCUUUCUUUCCUUUUUCUUAUUUCUUUCUUUUUUACAAUCAAAAUAGCCUCAUGGAGAUGAGCUUUGAAGAAUGCCUUAAACAUACUCUUUUUUCUUUUCUCCUUGGGUUAGUAUCACUUGAAAAAUCAAGGUAGGCCUUCUUACUGGAACAUCAGAAGUAAUGCCUGGUAUGAAGAGGCUGACACUAUACUUAACCACAGUAAUCCUGCCCAACACACACAGAGACCGAUAGAUAACCAGAUUUGGCAUUUCAAAUAUUUUUUACCCAAGGCUAAAGCUUUAGGGUGUUUUCGUGGAAUUAGAGAGUUUAGAGAUGAAAAGCACGUCAUUUAUUAUUUUCUCUCUCUGUCAGCUUAGGAUGUCUUUUCAAAACCUUGUCUGUAACACUGAGCCUAUCCUUGAAUGUCUCACCUGUUGAAGGAUGCUCCAUCAUAAAGCGCUCUCAAAUCUUGGAAUACAUGCAUCCAGGGUCUUGUAGGCAAACAAAGCCAAAGAAGCAAAUUUGCUGGAAGAGGAAAUUGGACUUAGAAUCCUGAGUUUAGUCCAGCAUUUGAGUGAAGAUUAUGCAGCACAAUCCUGAAGGGCGCUCUCUCUCUCUCUCUCUCUCUCUCUCUCUCUCUCUCUCUCUCUCUCUCUCUCCCAUUCUGUUUUGCUUAGUGUUUCUUCGUGAGAUAUGUACAGAGGUUCCUAGAUGAUUUUGUCAGGUAGAUGAUCUGAUAAAUGUGUCAUUUCUCUGUCAGACAGAGAAAAUAUUUAAACAUUUUAUGUAAGACUGUAAUCAUCAGAAAGCUAUAUUUUUCAAAUAUUUUAUUGGUUGUUUUAGUUAUUUGCAUUUCAAAUGUUAUCCCCCUUCCCAGUUUCCCCUCUGAAAACCCCCUAUCCCAUCCCCCUACCCCCUGAUUUUAUGAGGGUGCUCCUCCACCCACCCUGCCACCUACUCCUACCUCACUGCCCUAGCAUUUCCCUAUGCUGGGCAUCAAGCUUUCACAGACCCCAGGGUCUUCCCUCUCAUUAAUACCAGAUAAGGCCAUCCUUUGCUAUAUAUGCAGCUGGUGCCAUGGAUCCCUCCAAGUGUACUCUUUGGUUGGUGGUUUAGUGCCUGGGAGCUCUGGGAGGCAGGGGAGUCUGACUGGUUGAUAUUGCUGUUCUUCCUAUGAGGUUGAAAACUCCUUCACCUUCAGUUCUUUGCCCAAAUCCUUCAUUGGGGUUCCUGAGCUCAAUCUGAUGAUUGGCUGCAUCUAUAUCAUCUAUAUUGGUAAGGCUCUGACAAAGCCUCUCAGGGACAUCCACAUCAGGCUCCUGUCAGCAAUCACUUACUGGUAUCAGCAAUAGUGACUGUGUUUGGUGGCUGCAUAUAGGAUGGAUCCCCAGGUGAGGCAGUCUCUGAAUGGCCUUCCCUUCAGUCUCUGCUCCACUAUUUGUCCCUAUAUUUCUUUUAGACAGGAACAAUUCUGAGUUAAAAUUUUGAGAAGGGUAGGUGGGCCCAUCCCUCAACCAGGAGGGGAUAGGGGUUCAUACCUAAUCUCUGGAUAUGGUCUCUACAAGUUCUAUCUCCCCUUUGUGGGGUAUUUCAGCUAAUGUCAUCCCUAUUGGGUCCUGGGACCUCUUGCUUUUCUGGCAUCUGGGACUUUCUGGUGGCUACUCUCAGUUCCCCAUCUCCAUUGCUAUAUACCUCUGUUCAGUUUCCUGACCCUCUGUAUAUCAUCUCUGUCUCCUCCCAUACCUGAUCCUGCCCCCACCUUUUUCCCUCUCCCCCUCCUUGCUUUCUCCCAAGUCCCUACUAUCCUCUACCUCCUGUGAUAAUUUUGUUCCCCCUUCUAAGUAGGUUUAAGGCAUCCAUACUUUGGUCUUCUUUCUCCUUGAGCUUCAUCUGGUCGGUAAAUUGUACCGUGGGUAUUCCAAAUUUUUUUCUAAAACCCACUUAUCAGUGAGUGUAUACCAUGUGCGCUCUUUUGUGACUGGGUUACCUCACUCAGGGUGGUAUUUUCUAGUUCCAUCCAUUUGCUUGCAAAUUUCAUGAAGUCAUUGUUUUUAAUGGCUGAGUAGUACUCCAUUGUAUAGAUGCACCACAUUUUCUGUAUCCAUUCCUCUGCUGAAGGACAUCUGGGUUCUUUCCAGCUUCUGACUAUUAUAAGUAAGGCUGCUGUGAACAUAGUGGAGCAUGUGUUCUUGUUAUACGUUGAAGCAGAAAACUAGAUUUUUAUUUCUAAAUAUUUACCUCUUUAUAUUUGUAUUAUGUUGGAGUAGUGACAAUUUAUAGAGCUCUUAAUCAUAGGAGCAGGAAAUAGUUUGCUACAUUUCAUCUCCAAUGGUGUUUACAUAUGACCUUGGAUAUAAAUUCUUAAAAUUAAAGAAUUAACAUCCAGUUUUUUCUCUAUUAUAACUUAAUGUGACAAUAUCUGACCUCUCAAGAAAAGAAAAACAAUAUUAAGUCAGGUAAGGUGUCUCCUGGCUUUAAUCCCAGCAGCUCAGGAGGCUGAGGUGGAGGUUUGUGAGUCUCUUCAGACUGUGAGACUUUGAAUGACUUGUGUUUUACUCAACAACUGUCCCUCCACCAAAGCAGCCACCUAAGUUCUCAGAUGGCUUAAGCAGCCUUUUGCUAUAAUGUGGAUGUUUCUCUACCAACGUUGGACAGUUCACCCUCAGUCUAGCAGCCUUGAAUUUUCAUCUCUAAAACCGUCCUUAUACAAACUUAGACACUUCAGUGUGGUAGAAAAACAAAGCAGAACCCACUGCUCUCUGUAAUUUAUGUCACCCAUACCGCUAGAAAAUUUUACUUUAUCAGUGAGUUAUUUCUGAUUUCAAAAACAUAACCUCUUAAUGACAAUGAAAAAAAUUGCACAAGAUUUUAAGUCUGGAAUCUGGCUCCCAGAAUUUUUUUUCUGUCACCAUGACACAUUCUCAGUGUUUAAAAUUGUUGUCGAUAACAUUUUGACUUUACAGUGGUACAGAGGCCCAUAACAUCCCAUGGAGACCCUGCUUCUGUUUUAAAUUUUGCUCUAGUGCAAACGUUGGGUGGAUAACGAACUGUAUUUGUGCGCUGCUGGAAGGAAGCUGUGCGCAUGCUUAGCUGGUAUUCUUAGGUGAUGCUGGACAGCAGCUUCAGAACUCAGCGCCCAGUUACUUGUGCGGUUGUGAGGGACACCGGCCCUCUUCAGUGCAUGGCGCUGCUCAGUGCUCACCAGAUAAGAGUACAAUAUUUCCAUCUGACUACAUGCUGAUAACACUGUGAUUUACAGAAAGAUUUACAAGAUCCAAGUUUGAGGAUGUGGCUCAGUGGAUAGAGUGCUUCUCUCCCAUGCCCGAUGCCCUCAGUCUGACCUCAUCACUCCAUCAGCCAGAGUGAUUCCUGCACACUGAUAUAUUGGGCAAAAGAAUUAAUAUUGACGAGUCAUAGCUUUGGGAAAUACUGAAGAAAUGAAAAUGAUUUUCCUAGGGUUGGGGAUUUAGCUCAGCGGUAGAGCGCUUGCCUAGCAAACGCAAGGCCCUGGGUUCGGUCCCCAGCUCCGAAAAAAAGAAAAAAAAAAAAAGAAAAGAAAAGAAAAUGAUUUUCCUGGCUUCCAGCUUCCUGCCUAAGUUAAAAGAUUCAAAGACCUUAUGGGAGAAUCUUCUAGAAUUAAUUAAUGCCUGUAUAUCUUCCUGUACCAGUCUCUCACUGAGAGUUUGUGACAAGUAAUGAGAAAUAUCCAUCAAAUGUCUGAGACCUCUAGAUGAACUGUGGCAUGUAAGCAUAUUACUAUUAGUGUUGAUUGUUAUGUUAUUUCAAUAAAUUAUAUUUGGUAUUAUCAAAGGAUCUGAACUUAUUACCUCACUUUCUUUUCUUCCUUAAGAUUAAAACACUAAAUUUCUAAUUAUUAGUAAGGUCAAUGUUUUGCAUAGUUCUCCGACUUCCUUUUUGUACCUAACAAUAAGUGAAGCAUGUAACAUUCUAGUGGCAGAUUUUAAGAUGUAUGUCAAAGCCCAUGUAUGUCAAGGCUUAACAAGUAAAGCACUUGCCUCUCAGACCUGAAAUCUGGGUUCUGCCCAGGGACCUAUGGGGGAAGGAGAGAACCGUUGAAAAGUCAUCCUCUAACUCCACACUCACGCCAUGGUACACACACACACACACACACACACACACACACACACACACACACACACACACCUUAAACACAUUCACACCCAUCAUAUACAAACAUCUUGUACACAUCAUACAUUCAUGCCAUAAGCACACAUCUUACACACAUAAACACACAUUAUGCACACAACACACAUACACAUACCACAUGCACACACAUCACGCAUACAUCACAGUACAUCCACAUCAUAUGCAUACAUAAACACACAACACAUGCACACAUGUCACACAUACAUACAAAUCACAUGAACUCACAUAUACAUACACAUCAUGCAUACAAACACAUCAUACAUAAGGAUCAAUAAUAGAGUUUUGGCAAACAAGUGCAAAAUCCCUCAUCGGCAUUUAAGAUCAUCAAAACCUAAAACAUUUAGAAUUAUUUAAACACAUGAAAAUCAGCAAAUACAGAUUAAGACUUUUCUGAAUCAGUAAAAUGAAAUGGAGAUUUUUAUGGGUCAUACUUAGUUUAGAAACAUUUAGGAAAUUAUGUAAAAAAUGUAAUCUUUCCUUUGGAAUAAGCAAUCUGGAGGCCAUCUUAUAUAAAUCCAUUUAUAAUCUUUAAUGAUAGAAAAGUAGCACACAUUCUUAUGAAUAUAAUAUCUGCUGUAUAAUCAAGAGUUCCAGGCAGUCUUCCUAAUAUUCCACCACCUUUUUAAAAAGCACAUCAGCUCCAAAAUAGUAAAUGUUGAAAAAAUACUAGGGCUGAGGACCAGGCUGUGGGAAAACUCAUCUCUAUAUGAUCUCCUUCACCAGGCAAAAUCAGGUAAAAAAAAUCUUAAUCCAUGAUUUGGACCACUUUUAAAUUAAAAUUACCAUUCUCAAGAAUGACUUCUAUUUUUAUGGGGGGGUUUCCCAUUCUAGAAUUAACAAUAAAUUUGGCUAAGAUAAUUGUAAAAUUUCCCAUUCUUUUUUUAAAAAUUGAAUUGGAUUUAUUUUCUUUUCUACUGAAUUUCUACAGUUUCAUCACUCCUCUAUUCUAAUACAUCACUCUAUUCUAGGCUGUUUUGCCACAUAUUCAAAUGUGUGCCUAAUGUUCUAGGAAAGCCAAAUUUAUUAAUUGUGAGUGAUAAAUAUGAAGGAAUUCUGUAAUGGUAUCUGCAAAAAAGCAAUCACUCUUGGGACACCAAUCAAGAAGUCUGAAUGACAAGACAAAGACAAAGCAAGGAAGAAAUUGGACAGACCUUAAAGACAACAAAGACUUUAGGGUAUGACUGGAUUUCAUGUCAGCUCCAUGGUUCAGGGGUGUGAGAGCAAGGGGAUAUGAGAUUAGGAGCACUGUUCUCUGGACAAACUAUAUGCAGUGUUGCAUCAGAAGAUAGACUCCUUCCAUGUAAGCUGGGUGACACUGACUAUGAAAUAGAUUUGAAGCAUCCCAUUACAGAAGGGAAAAAACCCUUAGUUAUCUGGGUAAGAGGUAGGAAAAGAAGGACUGAGGUCUGCAAAAAUGACUUCUAGGAGAGAAUGAUUUAGUAGGUAGUGGGCUCUGACUUCUGGGAAUUUCUUUUCAUAAAUCAAUAAGCAAGACA